CAACCGAAGCGCACGUAUUCCAAAUUUGUUUAAAAACCCGACCAACCAAACUGGACUCGGCGCGAUACUGAUCAAUACUUCAACUGUCGGCGAGGCAUCUCCCCCAAGUGUCGCGCCGAUGAAGGUACCAAAGGAUUGCGUGCCUUUGUUUUACUCCUAAUGGUCUUAACCCGGAUUCACCCCCCAGAACCCGG
rnacentral:sRNA from 2 species